AACCUCGACACCGACAUACAUUAGCGACAUUUGAAACCAUGGUCGUAAGUAGACUUUAAUUGGGCUUGGGCUGACAGGAACUUACUAAAAUAAUCAAUAGGAUGUCCUUGCAUCAGAACUGUACCAAUCCCUCUGCCCAAUGCGUCACACUCCACCACAAACGGCUUGGUUAAAUCGGGUAAUGCCAAGGUAGGCGGUGUCGUAAUUGCCUUCUUUAGGGAUUCAAAUGCCACUUCUGUUUGUUCUGACAAAGUAAAAGCUCCACUUCUUUCUUCAACGGGGCUGUAAGAGGGGCGGCAGGGAUGCAUAGCCUUUUAUGAACCUCUGUAGUAACCGGUGAGGCCUAGGAAACCCUGCAAACACUUAAUGGUCUUGGGCUAAGCCCACCGAGUCAUCGCCACAAUUUUCUCGAGAUCGGUCAUUACAGUAACCCGCGAAAUUAUGUGUCCCAAAUACUGAAUCUGUGUCUGGCCAAAUGUGCAUUUAGAGGGCUUGGCAAAUAACUGAUUUCACCGGAGAAUCCCAAGGGUUAGCUCCAAAUAUUCUAAAUGAGAAGCCCAAUCACUACUAUAGACCAAUAUAUCAUAAAAAACACCAAGAUAAAGCGCCUGAGGUGGGGCCGAAAGGCUCUGAAAAGUGGAGGGCGCAUUAAUCAACCCAAAAGGCAUGACCAUACUGGCCAUCAUGGGUCCUAAAAGCCGUUUUGGGGUGGACCUGGAUCUGAUGGUAGCCGAAUCGUAAGUCCUGUUUGGAAAAAUAAACGGCAUGCUUCAAUUCAUCAAAUAACUCAUCUAUUAAUGGAAUUGGGAAUCUAUCCUUCAUAGUGAUGCUGUUGAGGGCCUGGUAAUCAACACAAAAAUGCCUGGUUCCAUCGAGCAGGACUGGAGAAGAAUAGGGACUGUGGCUCGGUUGUAUUAACUGCUUGGACAACAAGUCAACUACUAUUUUGUUGAUUUCAGCCCGCUGAACAUGUGGGUAUCUAUAAGGCCUGACAUUGGUGGGCUGGGCUCCAGGCUGAAUAGGGAUGUGGUGAUCAUGAGUAUGUACAGGGGGUAGGCUGCUUGGUUCUCCAAAGACAUCUUGAUACGUUGCUAAGAGCUUUUGUAAAGUGGGGUCCUCCGUAACAGUAUGGGUUCCGUUGUCACAAUAGAUAGUGGGUUCCACACCCAAUGAUCCCAAAUAAACCAGGGUCGCUGCACUGGAGUGAAAGUUGUAAUUGAUAACAUGUCGGUCCGAAUCUGCUGCUGGUUCAGUUGGCCCAAUUCCCUUCAAAUGGCAUUGCUUCCCAUUCAUCCAGAAAUCCAUAGUCAAGAGGGUCUAAUCACACAUGGUUAGCCCAAGUAGUUUAAGUCAUUGAAUCCCCAGGACUAAGUCAGCCCCACUAAAAUCCAAAGGUACAAGUCCACACUGAACACAUGACCUUGAAUUCUAAGGUCCAUGGCCCUGCAUAGCCCAUCAGAAGGAAUUUGCUGUCCAUUAGCUGCCUUAACAACAAAGGGAGUCACCACCUGAACCUCUAGGCCCAUUUGUCGAGCUAGAUCCAGAGUGAUGAAGUUAAGGGAACUCCCACUCACUUCCCUACCCUUGAGUACACCAUACACUCUCAUGCUCUCAGUGGAAUGGAGCCCAUCCAGGGCGUGGAGUGAAAUCUCUGGGUUUUCUUCGAUGGAGUCUUAAGCUUGGUCGGAGACCAUGGGUCCGGUGUCCACAUCGUCACUCUCAUCCGGGUUGUCAACAAUUUGAAGGAGGGAACAUCUGCUGGGCUUUGCACUUAUGGCCCGGAGAAAAUUUCUCCUCAUAGUUAUAGCACAAUCAUUUUUCCCAACGGGCCUGCAUCUCAGCCCAGGUGAGUUUUCUCACAGUGGGGACCGGCGGGAGGUGUGGUCGAACUGGGGUUAACUCGGUUUUGGAUGUCAAGGGCUUGGGAGCUGGUUCGAGAAUUCCUGGCCGUGGAUUCCUCCUAGCCCGGUUCAACUUGUCUUCAUGCAGUCGGGCUAGGCUCACAGCGGCCAAAACAGUAGGGGGUUGCGGGGCUUUCACUUCCAACCUAAUGUCUUCCCUCAAGCCACCAAUAAAACAGCCGGUGAGUGCAUGUUCUGGCCAUCCAUGCACUAUUAUGGCUAACUGCUCGAAUUCAACUUGAUAUUCUUGAACGGAACCAGUCUGUUCCACUCUAGAUAAAGCUUCGUCAAAAAUUUCGAAGCUGGAAGGACCAAAUUGUAUUUGCAGGGCCUCAACAAAGUCUAGCCAAGACAGUUGUGGGUGUGAACGAUGGUACCAUUGGUACCAGAGACUAGCCUCUCCAUCAAGAUGGAUGGAGGCAAUCUGUACUUUCUAGCUGGUUGGAAUCUCAUGGAAAUCAAAAUACCGCUCUGGGCGGUAGAUCUAGGGGGAAGGAUCGUCACCUGAGUACGUGGGGAACACCAGUUUGGGGCUGCGAAGGUUGAAGGCCGCCGCUGCUCGAUCCCUCCUGGUUUGCCUCUUUGCUCGGCUGAGUUGACAUCCGUUUGAGCUGAGACACUACAUCAGAGAGGGUGUCUUUAAUACCCCUCAGUUCUCUCUCCAUCCGAUCGAUCCUUCCUUGUGAUUUAUUGCGAGUGGUGGGCAUGGCAGAUCAGGGGCUCUGAUACCAAUUGAUGAACACUAAGUCGAUGGAACUUCUUCGAGGGAGCUCCUUCCUCCAGAAACAGAAUUAAGAGAGAGAGAAAAAGAAGAGGAAGAAAGAAGGAAAUAAGAUUCCAGGUGAAAAGGAAACAAUUUUUCUGCAACUUCACAACAAUCAUGUUGUUUGGUGCUGUUGGUACAUUAAUACCUUUUGGCAUCAUUGCAACAGGUGCUACAUAGUUUUUUAAACGAUUGAAUAUGGUUCCGCUUGACAUUGGAGAUUAUCUUGGUCUAGAAUUCGACCAGGUAAGACAGAAGGCCUAGCUCGAGAAGUUCGAGGGUCGAAGGAGAGAUCUGGAGAUUGCUACCUCUGAUUGGAUUAUAGAUUUUUCUUAUGUCGUUUCCUUCAUUUAUUUAUUUUUCUGCACAUUUAAUUUCUGCAAUGUUCGAAUUCUAUCUUUUUUAGUUUAAUUAAUUAAUUUUUAUAUUUUUGCACUUCCCUCUUGUAUUCUCUUGUCCAGAUUUGAGUACGUAUGAAUUUUUCCUCGCUUCCCUGUGGAUACGACCCGUUCUCAUCAUUUUACUGUGUUAGUAAUUACUUGAGAAUCGGAAAAAUUUAUAAAUGUUUAAACUAAUGUUCCGAAGUGGUUAAGAACACGCUUCCGAACACACCACUAUCUCAUACUGCCUUUUGUUUGCAAUUCCCAUAGAUCUUGUAUUCUUAUCAAUGUACCACCUUUCUAUCUAGAGCAAUUGGAGCAAUCUUUUUCUGAAACGGAUUCUGUUUGCACCUUGCAGGUAUGGGGAGUGUUUGAAAUUGUAAUAUUGUUUUUGAAUAUAUAGCAAUGUGUGGUUAAAGUUAUUUCACCUGAUGGUGUAGGUUUUUAAUCAAGAUGAAACGCCCUUGCUUUAUAGUCUGUUUUUUUUUUUCCAUAGCCUUGCAAUUUAUUGGCAACUUCUUUUAUUUAUUUGUAUCAAGUACCAUGUUAGGAGUGCUCGUAAGUCUCUCUCUCUGUUGUGUGUGGGUGUGCAUGUCAUGUCAUGGGGUUAUUUUGAUGCUUUGCUUUUUCUCUUUUGCAGACUGGUCUGCUCAGUGCAUACAUUAUCAAAAAGUUAUAUUUUGGCAGGCACUCCACUGAUGGUGAAGUCGCACUUAUGAUACUCAUGGCUUACCUUUCUUACAUGCUGGCUGAAGUAGGAGUCUCUCCUUCUGGCGUACCUUUCUGUAGGCCCCAUGUUCAGACUCUCUAUUUAGAUUCCAAAUACAGUAUGUCUAACUACUUCCAUGUGGA